UGUCAUUUAACAUUUUCGCUACCUUACUUUCCUCCUCUUCUUCUUCCAUCCCAUUUCGAUUUGCGUCAUCCCCAAGAGACAAGAGCAAAAGAAGAUCCACCUCCAGCUGAAUGUUGAGAGGGACUUAGUCAUCAACCUUCACAAGUGCACCCUGAGCAUCAAAUUAGUCUUCCUGCUCCAUCUCAUCCGUCAGUAAAAGAUUUGUGGCCAAAUCCUCAAGGGGCAUCACAUAAGAAUCAACUUGGUCCUCUAAUUGCUCCAUGUUAGCAUCAAAGACGGGGAUGAUAGCAAAGGAUGAACCUCCAGGGGAUCAAACAUCGGCUUGGGAGUGGCUGGAGGCCCCGUUCUCAUUGCCCGUCUAAACGGCAGAAGUUUAAUCCUCUCCCUAAGAAGAAGAAGAAACAACAACCAGAGAACUUUUAGGUAUUCUUUGUGGCUUAGGAGAUCCAACUUAGUAAGAAGUAAAACUUCUCCCAACAAGCAACCUUUAAGCAAAGAGGGGUCUUCAAUCUCCCGAUCCUCUUUCCUUGAUGAGAGAAGCACAACUUUCAAGGAGAGCUCCACCUGGUUGAUAGGGAAGGCAACUUCCAAACACAGUGGUGCACUUUCCAAAAAAAUAUCCUUUCUUUCUCAAGAUUUCACAUGAGUGCCAUCUGUGUUAUCUACACCGCCACGCCCAAUACACAAAGAGUUUUG
rnacentral:lncRNA from 1 species